UAGGGAAUCUUCCACAAUGGACGCAAGUCUGAUGGAGCAACGCCGCGUGAGUGAAGAAGGCUUUCGGGUCGUAAAACUCUGUUAUUGAAGAAGAACGUGUGUGACAGUAACUGGUCGUGCAGUGACGGUAUUCAAUCAGAAAGUCACGGCUAACUACGUGCCAGCAGCCGCGGUAAUACGUAGGUGGCAAGCGUUGUCCGGAUUUAUUGGGCGUAAAGCGAGUGCAGGCGGUCUUUUAAGUCUGAUGUGAAAGCCUUCGGCUUAACCGAGAAGGGCAUCG
rnacentral:rRNA from 1 species